rnacentral:snoRNA from 1 species
CCCCUCUCAGGUUCGCACCUGGAGAGUUUCCAGUACUCUACCAUUCUUGGCUAUGGGAGGGAGAGUCCAGCAGAGACAUACCCAUUCCAUUCCUAGCUUGGCCAGUGGUCAGCGAUUGGAAGGCAAUCUGCGACAAGU